rnacentral:rRNA from 1 species
GACGAACGCUGGCGGCGUGCUUAACACAUGCAAGUCGAACGGAAAGGCCCUGCUUUUGUGGGGUUCUCGAGUGGCGAACGGGUGAGUAACACGUGAGUAACCUGCCCUUGACUUUGGGAUAACUUCAGGAAACUGGGGCUAAUACCGGAUAGGAGCUCCUGCUGCAUGGUGGGGGUUGGAAAGUUUCGGCGGUUGGGGAUGGACUCGCGGCUUAUCAGCUUGUUGGUGGGGUAGUGGCUUACCAAGGGUUUGACGGGUAGCCGGCCUGAGAGGGUGACCGGCCACCUUGGGACUGAGAUACGGCCCAGAGUCCUACGGGAGGCAGCAGUGGGGAAUAUUGCACAAUGGGCGGAAGCCUGAUGCAGCAACGCCGCGUGCGGGAUGACGGCCUUCGGGUUGUAAACCGCUUUCGCCUGUGACGAAGCGUGAGUGACGGUAAUGGGUAAAGAAGCACCGGCUAACUACGUG